rnacentral:lncRNA from 1 species
UAAAAACAUGUCCUUGUUUGGGUUGCAUUCCUUCAAUACUAGCAAGAUUUAGGUCUUGGUAGCUCAUUGCCCCCCAGGUGAGGGAUGUGCAGAUGUUUGACACGAAGAUGCCUGGCCUCUGGGGAGUGAAGACUGAUGGAAACUCUUGGCCCAUUGAUGGCAUGGCCAAAUGCAAGAACCCCAUUCUGAACACUUGUGAACAUUUGUGAAAAAUCAGACUGGGCAUGACCUUGUCUGCCUGAAAGACCCUCCUCUUUGCAUAGGAUUUCUGCUAACAGGAGAUAAUGGCAGCUUCUCCUAGGGAAAACAGUGAAGGGUACUUCAGAAACACAACAGCUAUUGAAUGUUAUUUUCUGAUUAGUGCAGUUAAAUAAUGAGAAGGACUCGUAGCAGUAUUACCAUUUCCACUUGUCACUCAAAAUCAUGGCAGUAUUAUUGCAAAAGAGAAGUUCCCGCUGCAUUAGCAACUCGUAUUUCUGACGCAGGAAGAGGAGUUAAACCACCAUGCGCACAAAGUCUUUCUGCCUCUGCCCCAGCAUAUUGGACUUAAUAAUGCAGGGUGGAAGAGCUGUCUGAAGAGGAAGUCACAGUUCAGCACAGUUUAUUUCUGUUCUUUGUACUAAUUACAUUUAUUUAAUUUUGCUUUCUCUUACCUCCUUUGCUCUAUUCACUUCUUUCUCUUAUAUGCUAGGAGUAGAGCAACCUCUCCCUUUUUAAACCUCUGUAGAGUGCCUACUGCCAUGGAGAUAACAUUAGGCUUUUAUGUUAAGGUUAAGCUAUGUCUUUUCUGAAAUUUGAGAGUUCGGCAAGGUGACAUGAUCAGUACCAGAGUAGCAUUGACUCUGCUUCAGUUUAUGCCCAUGACCCUUUGUCCU